rnacentral:rRNA from 1 species
AUUGAACGCUGGCGGCAUGCUUUACACAUGCAAGUCGAACGGUAACAGCACUUCGGUGGCUGACGAGUGGCGAACGGGUGAGUAAUGUAUCGGAACGUGCCCAGUAGUGGGGGAUAACUACUCGAAAGAGUGGCUAAUACCGCAUGAGAUCUCUGGAUGAAAGCGGGGGACCGUAAGGCCUCGCGCUACUGGAGCGGCCGAUAUCAGAUUAGGUAGUUGGUGGGGUAAAGGCCUACCAAGCCUGCGAUCUGUAGCUGGUCUGAGAGGACGACCAGCCACACUGGGACUGAGACACGGCCCAGACUCCUACGGGAGGCAGCAGUGGGGAAUUUUGGACAAUGGGCGCAAGCCUGAUCCAGCAAUGCCGCGUGCAGGACGAAGGCCUUCGGGUUGUAAACUGCUUUUGUACGGAACGAAAAGCCUUCUUCUAAUACAGGAGGGUCAUGACGGUACCGUAAGAAUAAGCACCGGCUAACUACGUG